rnacentral:lncRNA from 1 species
CAUCCCACAGAUCUUGUGAAAUGAAGAGUGUCCUCAUUUGGAUACUCCAAAAUUCGUAGUUCUCACCGGCGAAGAUAGGAACUAGAUUUUGGGUAUAAUUAAAUAAGGCUUGGGUGUUUGAAGCCAUAAAUAUUUAUCGGGACAACCUGGCUCUGAUACCAAAUUUGUUGGGUAUUAUGAAUGAAUGGUGGAGACAAGAAAAUUAAAUGAGAGAAAGGGUAGGAAAGCUUUAUGAAAUUGUGAAAUUAUUUUCUUUUUUUCUUCUUCUUCACGCAACAUACAAAUAUCACACACAUAUAUAUAGCAUUUUCACCACCAUUGUUUGGAAGUUUCUACACAUAGAUUUUUUAUUUAGAAUAGUCUAGAUCUAGAUUUUUUAUAGGAAAACUCUAGAUAUAACUAGUUCUUUCCUUUCCUAGAUCUUAGUAGAUUUUUUU